CCGUAAUCGUCCUCGAACGGGUAAUUAAAAUCCAGCUGAGAAAUUAGACCCUCCAAACCCCGAGAAGGGGAGCAAGGAGCCUAAAUGCCAGCCAUCAUCUGGGUGAUGUGGACAAUGCAUGGCUUGAGAUUGACCCAAGGGCUGAGCUUCCUUCAAAACUGCUGUGUGGCAGGAGGAUCCCAGAGAGAGACAUGGUUGCCAUCAGGCCAAGGAAGAAAGAGUCCUUGCCCAACAGGACUGUUGGAAGUGGUUUCCACAAUCUCUCCCUGGAAAGGCAAGAGGCAGCCAAACCAGGACCUUUUAUUUGUUGUUGCCUGCUUGCCCUGCCUGAGUUCAGACCACGUAGCUGUAGGACAUGUGAGCACACCUAGCUGAGCUGGUGUGGUGGCUGCACUUUCCAUCAGCAAUGAAAGGUUUUCUACUGUGCAACUUACUGAGCUGGGCUGUGCCAGUAACCAAAGUGCUUAUCCCAGGAGGGAUGAAGAGUUCACCAUCUCUGUAAACAGUCCACCAUCUCUUUUGUAAAGGAUCAUCAGUGUGGCACAUCUGUUGCUUCAGCCAGUGGCUAUGCCAGACUUGAGAGAAGACACGUUGCUCAUUAAAUGAAGACAACUAUCAUAAAUAAACUAGAACAUUUGGAAAACUACCCAUGCCUCACUUUUGUUUGAAAGAAACUUCCCUUUUGGAAGUUCUCACAACAUAAAAGAGAGGAACUGCACUGCCUCAUUCCACAUGAGUCUUUCCUCUUUAAUUUUUCUGGAGAAAAACACGUGUUUCAAC